GCCAACCUCGAAGAAUAGCCCUAAGAAAAAGAAGGGAAAAAAUAUUAAGAAAAUUAAUAGAAAAUGAAAUGAAUCAACAAAUUAGAAUAAUUUAAUUCUCUGUUCGCUCAGGUGAGUAAUUCUGCGAGGAAAACAAAUGCAACAGGCUAGCCAGUCCAUGCAUAGUCACUUGUUAAGUAGGUUAAAUUAACCCCCAAAACUUGCAAAAAAUCCAAUUCAAUUGAUUGAAAACACAAUACUUCUUAUUUCAAAGAACCAAUUCAAAAUAAAUAACACUGGGGACUACUUUCUAAUGGUCAAAUUGUCUAACAGAUGCACUUUGAUUUGAUGCCGUGAUCAGUUUUUAUGGCACUAAGUUGAAUGGAUUGCUUACAUGAUACAUUGCCUUCAAAUAAAUUUUAAAAGCACAUCAACAUGGCCAAAAACAGAAUGGCUCUAUAGGGGUAAAAGGCCAUAAUUGCACUUAGCCAUCAAGCAACUUAUGUUUCAGCCAAACACAGUAUUCAGACAUGGCAUCUAGAUGUUAACACAAGCCAAUUUUCAAAACCAACAGCUUCAGAAGAUCCCCUCAACUAUAUAUUACAAGUAGUAUUAGUAGUUACCUCAAAAGGAGCAAGCUCAUCUG
rnacentral:misc_RNA from 1 species